GGGGAUAUAGCUCAGUUGGUAGAGUGCUUGCCUCACAGGCAUAAGGCCCUGGGUUAAAUUCCCAGAACCCCCC
rnacentral:tRNA from 1 species